UUAACAAAAACAUGUCUUUUUGAGUUAUUUUUAAAGUCUGACCUGCCCACUGAAAUUUUUAAAUGGCCGCAGUAUUCUAACUGUGCAAAGGUAGCAUAAUCAUUAGUCUUUUAAUUGAAGGCUGGUAUGAACGGUUGGACGAGGUAUAAGCUGUUUCAUAUAAAUUUAUAAUAGAAUUUUAUAUUUUAGUUAAAAAGCUAAAAUAUUAUUAAAAGACGAGAAGACCCUAUAAAUCUUUAUAUUUUUUUUUAUUUAAAUUUUUUGGGUUUAUUUUAUUUUUAUAAUAGAAAAUAUUUUGUUGGGGUGAUGUUAAAAUUUAAUGAACUUUUAAUUAUAGAAAAUCAUUAAUUUAUGAGUUAUUGAUCCAUUAGUAGUGAUUAUAAGAUUAAGUUACUUUAGGGAUAACAGCGUAAUUUUUUUGGAGAGUUCAUAUCGAUAAAAAAGUUUGCGACCUCGAUGUUGGAUUAAGAUAUAAUUUUAGGUGUAGCCGCUUAAAUGUUAAGUCUGUUCGACUUUUAAAUUCUUACGUGAUCUGAGUUC
rnacentral:rRNA from 1 species